rnacentral:lncRNA from 1 species
AUCGCGUAGUUACAAUUAAGUGAUUUUAAUUUUAAGUUGAAGAUGGAUAGCAAUUUGAUUAAACUAAAGACUAUUAAAUAUAAAAGCAAGUAAAUAAAGAAUUAAAUAAAGUUGAUUUCAGUUAUGAGAUAGAAGUUUGGUUCAAAUAUGAGGAUGGAUUCUCAGGAUCUUAACUAUUCCUUAUUUGAUGGCUGGUAUCCUUCUUUCAGAUGAUUUUGCUUAGAUAUCUAAAUAAUAAAGAUAUAGCC